rnacentral:other from 1 species
GCGGUAAUCACCAGAUCGCCCGCUUCGCAUUGAUGAAACAACGAAUUGCUGUGUGUAGUCUUUGCCCGUCUCCUACGAUGGGCUUUUUUUUUA